UACGUAGGGUGCGAGCGUUGUCCGGAAUUAUUGGGCGUAAAGGGCUCGUAGGCGGUCUGUUGCGUCAGGAGUGAAAACUCGGGGCUUAACCCCGAGCCUGCUUCUGAUACGGGCAGACUAGAGGUAUGCAGGGGAGAACGGAAUUCCUGGUGUAGCGGUGAAAUGCGCAGAUCUCAGGAAGAACACCCGUGGCGAAGGCGGUUCUCUGGGACGGUACUGACGCUGAGACGCGAAAGCGUGGGGAGCGAACAGG
rnacentral:rRNA from 1 species